rnacentral:sRNA from 1 species
UGGGACCCCGCCCCCUUCGCCUGGGUCUGGGGCCCCGCGAGACGGCGGAAAGGGGUCAGCUCCGCCGAAGGCGCCGCCAAGGAAGAGCCCAAGAGGAGAUCGGCGCGGUUGUCAGCUAAACCUCCUGCAAAAGUGGAAGCGAAGCCGAAGAAGGCAGCAGCGAAGUGUAGGUAGAAGUUUAGCACUGCACAGUCAUCAGAAGAGGCAAGAUUAAUUUCCUUGACAUUGAGGAGUUGGGUAAUUACUAAAUUUGUCCUUGUUAAAUAAAGAAAGUUCUGUUUUUGUGAUCCUUUUAAAAAUAAAGCUUCACGGAAGGUAUGAGAAUAGUAUUUUUCAACUUGCAAUUUCUCAUUACCAGAAGACCAUGUGGUAAUUCUCUGUAUACAGUUAGAACAGCACGGAAACUUGAAGGCCUAAAAAAUUAGCUGACCUUGUUAAAAAUGUUGGCGUGAGCAGUAUAUUAUUACCUAUCUUUUUUGAUUGUGUGUGUGUGUGUGUGUGUGUGUGUGUUUUUUAACUAAUUGGCUGAAAUAUCUGCCCGUUUCCCUCUUUACAUUUUUCUUGUUUCUUUCCUUAUUUAUCUUUGUCCAUCUUGAGAUCUACUGUAAAGUGAAUUUUUUAAUGAAAACAGUUCCAAGUUUUACUCUCAGUGGGUUUGGGACAUCAGAUGUAAUUGAGAGGCCAACAGGUAAGUCAUUCAUGUCAGUGAUUGUUGAGGAACGAGCCUAUGAGGUCAGCUUUCCCAAAAGGAAAAAGGGCAGAAGGGAUUUGUUCAUUUUUACAUCUAGUUUCUGUAAUACACCUUUGACGUCGUGGUUGAUCAGACUUUAAAGUCUAAACAGAACGUAAGCACUUGGUGUAUCGAUUAUCAUACUACACAGUAGACAGGUUUUCAAGGCAUAUCUUGUCACUGUGUGUGCUUCUAACUUGUAUCUUUCCCUAGAACUAAAUAUUUUGAAGGUCCAAACAUUAUACUUUGGGAAACUUGAUUGAUUUUUUUUUAAUCUAGCUUUUCAGCUGAUAAUGGUUACACGUGGUAUUAUUUCAAGUCCAAGGUAUUAUGUAUUCUAUUUUAACUGUUUCCCAGUUUUGUAUUUUUUGUAUUGGAAUGAUUAUGAAAUUAAUGAGAAAUCUUUAGAAAUCAGAUUACAAAAGAGUAGUUCUUAAAUACAGAAGUGAUUGUGAAACUUUGAUAGCAAUGUGUGUAGUAGCAGUUUUGUCUCAAAUACAUUUAUCGUUUGUUACUCAAAGGAUGUUGAAGUAUUAAAAGUCAUUAUGCUGUCUGUGGAAUCCUAUUAGUACAGAACACCCUGCAGUGAUUUUUCCGCCCAUGUUAACAUUGAAGUUGUGAGCUCUACUUGCUUGUCUUUAUGGCCCUUUAACUGAAGUAAUUGGUCAGUAUGCGUAUGGGUCUUUUAUACCACCCGCUGGGGGCUAAACUAAUUUAGCUGCUGCUGUAUACUUACUAACAAGGAAUAAAUGUUAAGCUUUCUUCUCAGUAUUGAUGGAUGGUAUCUAAAAGUAUUUUUAUGUUUCUUUAACAUGGCUUAAAUUUUGAACUUAAUGUGUCAAGUUAGUAUGGUCAUAUAUUAAUACCUGUGCUUUUCAGAUUCUUCAAACACCUAAAUGAAAGUGAUAAAUUCAAAAUUGAUCCUUUUAGUUCCUCAUUAUAUGAUAUCAAGGGAUUAACUGUAGCAGGAUAGUCAACCUGACCGUACGGCAUGGUGCUUUUUUUCAGGAUAAAUCUUCAGACAAAAAAGUGCAAACAAAAGGGAAAAGGGGAGCAAAGGGGAAACAGGCCGAAGUGGCUAACCAAGAAACUAAAGAAGAUUUACCUGCAGAAAACGGGGAAACGAAAACUGAGGAGAGUCCAGCCUCUGAUGAAGCAGGAGAGAAAGAAGCCAAGUCUGAUUAAUAACUAUAUACCAUGUCUUAUCAGUGGUCCCUGUCUCCCUUCUUGUACAAUCCAGAGGAAUAUUUUUAUCAACUAUUUUGUAAAUGCAAGUUUUUUAGUAGCUCUAGAAACAUUUUUAAGAAGGAGGGAAUCCCACCUCAUCCCAUUUUUUAAGUGUAAAUGCUUUUUUUUAAGAGGUGAAAUCAUUUGCUGGUUGUUUAUUUUUUGGUACAACCAGAAAAUAGUGUGGGAUAUUGAAUUAUGGGAGGCUCUGACUGUCUCGGGGGGUCAGCGGUCAGCUUAACAUUCCAUAGAUGGGGGGUUAGUUUUUAUAUCCUAUAAUACAAAGCAUAUUAAAUGGCAAUAUGGAGUCAGUCCUGCAUUUAAUGUCUUGAACAUUUUAAAUUACUUCUGUUACCAUAUUGUUUUUUUAGUAGAAUUGUUUCCUAAAGAAAACCACUCUUUGAUCAUGGCGCUCUCUGUCAGAAUUGUGUGCACUCUCUAACAUCUUUGGUUGUGGUAGUCCUGUUUUCCUAACAGCUUUGUUACUGUGCUGUGAAAGAUUACAAAUUUGAAUAUGUAGUGUAUGUGCUAUUGAGUUGUGAACUGGUGGGCCGUAUGUAACAGCUGACCAACAUGUGAAGAUACUGGUACUUGAUAGCCUCUUAAGGAAAAUUUGCUUCCAAAUUUUAAGCUGGAAAGUCACUGGAAUAACUUUAAAAAAGAAUUACAAUACAUGGCUUUUUAGAAUUUCGUUACGUAUGUUAAGAUUUGUGUACAAAUUGAAAUGUCUGUACUGAUCCUCAACCAAUAAAAUCUCAAUUAUGAAAAUA